GGUUGGUCCGAGUGCAGUGGUGUUUACAACUAAUUGAUCACAACCAGUUACAGAUUCCUUUGUUCCUUCUCCACUCCCACUGCUCCACUUGACCAGCCUUUU
ensembl:misc_RNA Y_RNA Y RNA